AAAUUGAAGAGUUUGAUCAUGGCUCAGAUUGAACGCUGGCGGCAGGCCUAACACAUGCAAGUCGAACGGUAACAGGAAGCAGCUUGCUGCUUCGCUGACGAGUGGCGGACGGGUGAGUAAUGUCUGGGAAACUGCCUGAUGGAGGGGGAUAACUACUGGAAACGGUAGCUAAUACCGCAUAACGUCGCAAGACCAAAGAGGGGGACCUUCGGGCCUCUUGCCAUCGGAUGU
rnacentral:rRNA from 1 species